rnacentral:rRNA from 1 species
UGCAAGUCGAACGGUAACGCGGGGCAACCUGGCGACGAGUGGCGAACGGGUGAGUAAUGUAUCGGAACGUGCCCAGUAGUGGGGGAUAGCCCGGCGAAAGCCGGAUUAAUACCGCAUACGACCUACGGGUGAAAGGGGGGGAUCGCAAGACCUCUCGCUAUUGGAGCGGCCGAUAUCAGAUUAGGUAGUUGGUGGGGUAAAGGCCUACCAAGCCGACGAUCUGUAGCUGGUCUGAGAGGACGACCAGCCACACUGGGACUGAGACACGGCCCAGACUCCUACGGGAGGCAGCAGUGGGGAAUUUUGGACAAUGGGCGCAAGCCUGAUCCAGCCAUGCCGCGUGCGGGAAGAAGGCCUUCGGGUUGUAAACCGCUUUUGUCAGGGAAGAAAUCUUUCGGGUUAAUACCCUGGAGGGAUGACGGUACCUGAAGAAUAAGCACCGGCUAACUAC